rnacentral:misc_RNA from 1 species
GAUGAAGAACGUAGCGAAAUGCGAUAAGUAAUGUGAAUUGCAGAAUUCAGUGAAUCAUCGAAUCUUUGAACGCACAUUGCGCCCGCCAGUAUUCUGGCGGGCAUGCCUGUCCGAGCGUCAUUUCAACCCUCGAACCCCUCCGGGGGGUCGGCGUUGGGGACCUCGGGAGCCCCUAAGACGGGAUCCCGGCCCCGAAAUACAGUGGCGGUCUCGCCGCAGCCUCUCCUGCGCAGUAGUUUGCACAACUCGCACCGGGAGCGCGGCGCGUCCACGUCCGUAAAACACCCAACUUUUAAGAGUUGACCUCGAAUCAGGUAGGAAUACCCGCUGAACUUAAGCAUAUCAAUAAGCGGAGGA